rnacentral:lncRNA from 1 species
GCUGAGGGACAGCCCCGCGGUUGUGGGUGUCCCGCGGCGCCGGAAACUGGGCGCACACACCCUCGGAUUGACGUGCGCACGCGCACCGGUUACCUUCAGGAGCGCCGAAGAAGGAAAGAAGAACACAGAGCCCGAGGCAAAGCUUAAGUGCUUACGCUUUUGUCGGGAGGUACAGACCCAGCUCUGCGAGAGCCAGGGGAAAAGGAAGAGAGGCAGGGAAGGAAUGGCAGCAAGUACAAGGUGAUGAAUGACUGCACUGGCCAUUGCUUCAUGAAGAGCCACGAAAAAACAGAGCCGGUUUCUCAGCAGGUGGCUGGCUGCUCAGUCACAAAGGACCUCUUUGGACAGGCUUUAUGGAAAUACUGUGCCUAGGACAGUCGCUCAAAGGCAGGAGGGAGAGAAAAUGCAUCUGCAAGCUCACUUUGUCUUCUUUCUUCUGCUGGUCAAAAUUUGCUGGCUGGGGCAGUUAACGCCCUCACACAUCCGAGUUGUGUCACCUGGCCCCUUUGGUAGCCACUGGGGAAGCCAGAUCUAGGCAUGUGGCCUGAUGGCUCCUGCGGUGGAACCACAUGCUCACACUCAGUCAGUCACCACUGGGAUGCCCUGGGCAGGGCAGGCUGAGUGGCUGGGAGAUAGCUGAGCCUAAGAUAUCUAAGCAAGCACCUGUGAUGUAUGCACUGCAGUGUCCAAAUGUGAAAAAGCAAGAAAGGGAGAUAGAAGCAUAUUUUUUUCUGGAGAGAAGGAGGAAACCACCAGGAGAAUACAAACAGAAAAAAGAUGGAGUUGAGCUCUGUCGCCCAGGCUGGAGUGCAGUGGCACCAUCUCAGCUGACUGUGACCUCCGCCUCCUGGGUUCAAGUGAUUCUCCUGCAUCAGCCUCCCGAGUAGCUGGGACUACAGGUGCACACCACCAUGCCCGGCUAAUUUUUGUAUUUUUAGUAGAGACGGGGUUUUGCCAUGAUGGCCAGGUUUGGUCUCAAACUCCUAACCUCAAGUGAUCCACCCUCCUCAGCCUCCCAAAGUGCUGGGAUUACAGGCGUGAGCCACUGCGCCCCGCCUACUUGAAUUUUUUUUUUUUUUUUUUUUUUUGAGACAGAGUUUUGCUCCUGUUGCCCAGGCUGGAGUGCAACGGCAUGAUCUCGACUCACUGCAACCUCUGCCUCCUGGGUUCAAGUGAUUCUCCUGCCUCAGCCUCCCAAAUAGCUGGGAUUACAGGUGCCCACCACUGUGCCUGGCUGAUUGUAUUUUUAGUAGAGAUGGGGUUUCAUCAUGUUGGUCAGGCUGGUCUUGAACUCCAGACCUCAGGUGAUCGGACUGCCUCGGCCUCCCAAAGUGCUGGGAUUACAGGCAUGACCCACUGUGCCCGGACCUGCUUGAAUUUUUAUGAUGAGCAUGUUGGCAGAUCACGACUGCCAGCUCCGUGACAGCAAGAACCUUGUAUGACUUUUUCAUGAUGGAUGUUCAUCUGUGCCAUCUGUAAAUAUUGAAUAAAUAUUUGUGGAAUACAUGAAUCUAAAAGUGAAUGGAAUGAUAAAGAGGGAAAGGGUCAUGACAUCUACUACAGCAUUUGGCACAGACCCAGCUGUCUGCAGUACUAUCAAGAGAUGACAUGGACUUCAAGGAUCAAACAGGGGAGAAAAAGGCUUAAAAGAAAAACAAGUCUCCAUCAAAGGUAAUAACCACAAUGAGAACUAUACAUAGCUAUGUGCUUAUAGGUCUUAGUUCACAUUCCCCUCAUUAAAAUUAUAGCUCAAGAAAUAAAGGGCUGUUUAAUGACUUGGGUAUAUAAAUAUACUUCAUUUGUAUAUUUUUUACUUGCUAAAAUCUAUCCAAAUUGGUAUUACCUCAAACCAUAAUCUUCUACUGUAUUUUAUAAUUUUACUUUAUUGCCAUGUAUUUUUCCCACUGAUGUUCACAAAUUCACAGGAAACAUCAGCCAUGUACUAAAUAAAAUAUGAAUUGAAUCGACAAAUAGAACUAUAAAUUUAAUUCAAGCACAUGUAAAAUUUAGACCAAAGAAUAAAAAUGUCUAUUAAAAAUACAGCCAAGCAUGGUGGCUCACACCUGUAAUCCCAGCACUUUGGGAGGCCGAGGUGGGUGAAUCAUCUGAGGUCAAGAGUUUGAGACCAGCUGGCCAUUGUGGUGAAACCCCAUCUCUACUAAAAUACAAAAAUUAGCUGGGUGUGAUGGUGGGCACCUGUAAUCCCACUACUUGGGAGGCUGAGGCAGGAGAAUCGCUUGAACCCAGGA